rnacentral:lncRNA from 1 species
ACCCACACAAUACUAGUGAGAGACUUUAACACCCCACUGUCAAUAUUAGAUAAAUGAGACAGAAAAUUAACAAGGAUAUUCAGGACUUGAAUUCAGCUCAGGACCAAGCAGACCUAAUAGAUAUCUACAGAAGUCUCCACCCCAAAUCAACAGAAUAUACAUUCUUCUCAGCACCACAUAGAACUUAUUCUAAAAUUAACACCCUACCUUAAACCUGCUCAGAACACUUACAUUAGCUUACGUUUGGACAAAAUCAUCUAGUACAACGCCUAUUUAAAAUAAAUGAAAUCAGUGUCUUGAAGUGAUAUCAAAUCCAUAUUCAUUGUGGUCUUCACAACAGCUAAGGUAUGGGAACAACCUAUACCUCCAUCAGUGCAUAAAUAGAGAAAGAAAAUGUAAGACACACUGGAGUAUUGUUCAAUCAUGGAAUGGAUUAUUGACUUAUUACCAUUUGUAAUAAAUGCUUUUUCCAGGUCCCGUAAAAUAAAGUCGUCUUACAACGUUCUAGCACAUUUAUCUCCUCAUGCUUUUUGUGCUGUUGCAAUAUUAAAUUGUAUGUGUAUUGAAAAUUUUGAAAUAUAUUAUCUUUGGUUUUAACUAGCCAAU